rnacentral:tRNA from 1 species
GGCCAGUUAGCUCACUUGGUUAGAGUGUGGUGCUGAUAACACCAAGGCUGUGGGUUCAAUCCCCAUUCAGUCCC